rnacentral:rRNA from 1 species
CAAUAAGCGGAGGAAAAGAAACCAACAGGGAUUGCCUCAGUAACGGCGAGUGAAGCGGCAACAGCUCAAAUUUGAAAUCCGACUUCGGUCCGAGUUGUAAUUUGUAGAGGGUAUUUGGAAAGCGAUAUUGGCCUAAGUCCCUUGGAACAGGGCCUCGCAGAGGGUGAGAAUCCCGUAUGUGGCUACAUAUCAAUUUCAUGUCAAAUCCCUUCGACGAGUCGAGUUGUUUGGGAAUGCAGCUCAAAAUGGGUGGUAAAUUUCAUCUAAAGCUAAAUACUGGCCAGAGACCGAUAGCGCACAAGUAGAGUGAUCGAAAGAUGAAAAGCACUUUGGAAAGAGAGUUAAAAAGUACGUGAAAUUGUUGAAAGGGAAGCGCUUGCCAUUAGACCGAUCCACGAGCUGCAGUCGGAGGUAACUCUUGACGUAAAGCACUCGUUUUUCGGCCAGCAUCAGUUUUGAUGGUUCGAAAAAGACGAUGAGAACGUGGCUCUUCGGAGUGUUAUAGCUCAACGUGUAAUGGAAUCUAUUGGGACUGAGGACCGCGCUUUGGCUAGGAUGCUGGCGUAAUUAUGGCAAGCGACCCGUCUUGAAACACGGACCAAGGAGUCGAUCAUCUAUGCAAGUGUUUGGGUGGAAAACCCAUACGCGGAAUGAAAGUGAACGGAGGUGAGAACCGUAAGGUGCAUCAUCGACCGAUCCUGAUGUUUUCGGAUGGAUUUGAGUAUGAGCAUAGCCGAUCGGACCCGAAAGAUGGUGAACUAUACGUGAAUAGGGUGAAGCCAGAGGAAACUCUGGUGGAGGCUCGCAGCGGUUCUGACGUGCAAAUCGAUCGUCAAAUUUGCGUAUAGGGGCGAAAGACCAAUCGAACUAUCUAGUAGCUGGUUCCUG